rnacentral:rRNA from 1 species
GCAAGGAAUUUUGCGCAAUGGGCGAAAGCCUGACGCAGCAACGCCGCGUGGGUGAAGAAGGCCUUCGGGUCGUAAAGCCCUUUUGUUAGGGAAGAAGUUCUGACGGUACCUGACGAAUAAGCCUCGGCUAACUACGUGCCAGCAGCCGCGGUAAUACGUAGGAGGCGAGCGUUAUCCGGAUUUAUUGGGCGUAAAGAGCGCGUAGGCGGCCUAUUAAGUCGGUUGUGAAAUCUCUCGGCUUAACUGAGAGGGGUCAACCGAAACUGGUGGGCUUGAGGACAGAAGAGGGAGGUGGAAUUCCCGGUGUAGUGGUGAAAUGCGUAGAUAUCGGGAGGAACACCAGUGGCGAAGGCGGCCUCCUGGGCUGUUCCUGACGCUGAGGCGCGAAAGCGUGGGUAGCAAACAGGAUUAGAAACCCCAGUAGUCC